rnacentral:rRNA from 1 species
GAUGAACGCUGGCGGCGUGCCUAAUACAUGCAAGUCGAGCGAACAGACGAGGAGCUUGCUCCUCUGACGUUAGCGGCGGACGGGUGAGUAACACGUGGAUAACCUACCUAUAAGACUGGGAUAACUUCGGGAAACCGGAGCUAAUACCGGAUAAUAUAUUGAACCGCAUGGUUCAAUAGUGAAAGACGGUUUUGCUGUCACUUAUAGAUGGAUCCGCGCCGCAUUAGCUAGUUGGUAAGGUAACGGCUUACCAAGGCGACGAUGCGUAGCCGACCUGAGAGGGUGAUAGGCCACCCUGGAACUGAGACACGGUCCAGACUCCAACGGGAGGCAGCAGUAGGGAAUCUUCCGCAAUGGGCGAAAGCCUGACGUAGCAACGCCGCGUGAGUGAUGAAGGUCUUCGGAUCGUAAAACUCUGUUAUUAGGGAAGAACAAAUGUGUAAGUAACUAUGCACGUCUUGACGGUACCUAAUCAGAAAGCCACGGCUAACUACGUG